rnacentral:rRNA from 1 species
AAGACCCUGCGCUUUUGGAGCGGCCGAUGCCUGAUUAGCUUGUUGGUAAGGUAAAAGCUUACCAAGGCUUCGAUCAGUAGCUGGUCUGAGAGGACGACCAGCCACACUGGGACUGAGACACGGCCCAGACUCCUACGGGAGGCAGCAGUGGGGAAUUUUGGACAAUGGGGGCAACCCUGAUCCAGCCAUGCCGCGUGGGUGAAGAAGGCCUUCGGGUUGUAAAGCUCUUUCAGCCGGAACGAAACGGUUACGGUUAACACCCGUGACUACUGACGGUACCGGAAGAAGAAGCACCGGCUAACUACGUGCCAGCAGCCGCGGUAAUACGUAGGGUGCGAGCGUUAAUCGGAAUUACUGGGCGUAAAGCGUGCGCAGGUGGUUUUGUAAGUCAGAUGUGAAAGCCCCGGGCUCAACCUGGGAACU